GGAGCUGUGCUCUGAAGAUUUAAGCAAACUUCAUGUGCAUUGGAUUGGGAAUGUGGAGACACUGUGGAUGUCUGUACCAGCUCUGUGUGAGUCCCGAGUCAGUGACAAAGAUGGGUAUUUCUAACCCAAAAAAGCGCAAGAAAGAGGAGUCGUGGAAGCGCCAAAAAGAUCAGAGAUGAGCGUGUGACCUGCCAACCUGCAGCGGAGGAGCCGGUUCCUAUACAAGACCAAUGGAACACCCUCAGAAACAUCGACAGAGAACUGAACAUCUUUGAGGACUACGGGGAAGAGAGCUCUUCUAGCCCUAGAAGAGAAAUUCCUAACAUCGGGGAUUCUCACAAAGCAGACCACCAUUGAGGAAAGUCAUUGGUGGGAAGUCACCACCAUUUUAAUCAAAGUGCACAGACACUUUUCACUGGACUUCUCCACCUUGUGCCUUGCUGUAAAAUACAUGGCAAGGAACAUCUCCGUAAGGCAACUGAGACCUGGCAUCCUGAAACCAGUGGGGGCGACUAGUUUGUAUCUGGCCAUUAAGAUCAUAGAAGACAAUCCACCCAAUGCAGAAGAGUUUGCGGAUCUGUUUGGUGAUUCUUUACCGAAUGGAGUGUCGCCUGUACCAACCGACCAUAGACUUUUUUCUAGAGCACUUCACCUUAAUGAGUGUAUCCAUGGAGAUGUUUUUUUUUUUGAGAACAUCACUAGAGCAGCCAAUGCUCUUACAGCUGCCAGGGGCAUUGCAGCACUGACCAUAAAGAAGUAUGAAUUUCAUACUUAUUUACCAUCUUUAAUGGCUCAGUGCUGCCUUAAAGCUGCUGAACCAUCCUUGGAUACAACUCACUAGUGGAGUUGCCCAGCGACCAUCCAAGUCACAUCAUGCAGAAAUGCCUCAGAAAAACUUUACUCCUGGCAUCAGCCAACAAGGACUUUUUACACCAACUUAUGCCAGGAGUCUUUCCUGAGGUAUUUCCAAAGUUUACUUCUCCCCCACCAUCCAGAGAGGAAGAACAGGAGCCAACAUAGACAACAUUUCAAAAAGGAAGGUACUUUUUGCUGCAAAAUGCAGUGGGUGCAUGGAGAAGAUCGCUCCUACGGAGUUUGUGAUGCGUGCCGUGGAAUGUGUAUACCAUCUAAGCUGCUUCUGCUGCUGUGUAUGUGAGCGACAGCUCAGGAAGGGAGAUGAGUUUCUACUCAAGGAAGGAUAAUUGCUGUGCAAAAGUGACUAUGAGAAGGAGAAAGAUCUGCUGAGCUCUGGAAGUCCAGAUGGCUGAUUCUGUAAAAAGUGAUGAUGAAGAUGGUGAUGUGAAACCAGGGAAUUGCCAUGUAAAUCAGGGGAAAGGCAAUGACGAUGGGAAAGACCCAAGGAAACCAAAGCGGCCAAGGACAAUCCUCACAACCCAACAAAGAAGGGCAUUCAAAGCAUCUUUUGAGGUGUCAUCUAAACCAUCUUUUGAGACAUGUGUGCAUCCAAUGCCCUGUGGCAUCUCCAACAACUGUUAUGAGGUGUGUCCCCUGAAACAGAACAAAGAAAGAAAGAUAGAGCUGGGAGCUGUGCCCUGAAGAUUAAAGCAAACUUCAUGUGCUUGGAUCGAGAAUGUGGAGACACUGUGGAUGUCUGUACCAGCUCUGUGUGAUUCCCGGUGAGUCUGACUGAGGGAGAUAUUGAAACUCCAGCGUGUUCCCUGGAUGAAGACAAGUGUUGUCUGUGUGCCUGCUACGUGGGAGCAACUACUCUGUCCAACAGGAGAGUGCAUCCCUGGAUCCCACUAGGUGGAGACACUGCCAUGGAGAGACAUUCCCUGUACCCUUUUUAUUUAGCAAAGGGGAUUCAGGACCUGUGUAUGGGGAACAACUGAUGGAAUAUCCCAUUUAUCCAGAUGAGACCGUUACAUAUAUUUGGCAAGUGACUCAAGGAGAUGCCCCAUUGUCAUCUGAUCCACGUUGUCUAACAAGACUGAACUCCAGCUCCUUUGAUCCACAGAAAUAUUUAUCUUCUGGGCCUUUUGGACCUGCAAGAUUCGCAAGAUGGCGACGGUGAGCUCCGCUGCGCUUCUCUGCAUUUAAGGAUCAUGUUUUCUAUGCUGGUGGUGCAACUGUUCAUCUUCUUAGCGGAAAUCCUCCCGAGGGCACAUCACCAGGUUUUGCCCUGUUCCCAGGUUUUUGAUGUGCGUGUGCCAGUGGGUGCACUGAGUAUACAGCCUUAUUGCCAUGAUGGAGGAUGCCCAGAAUGACCAUUAUAAACAGAAUCUCCAUCCUGUUAUCCCAGUGUAAGAAUGCUUGUUGCAGCAGCCAUGCCCGCUGGAGGACUGUGUCUCUCACCUACAGGUCUUUUCUUACCCAUCAUCCCCUUUGGACUUAAAAUGCUGCAUAGUUAAAGUCCAGAAAGGCUUCAUCGAUCUCGCUUGCCAUCUCAGCAGGGGGUCCUUUGGGCUGGGUCAGAUUCGCAGACAGCUUGGUGAACUCCUCAUCGAAAUACCCCACAUCCUCCGGUCCAUUUAGGCUGGGCACGAACGGAGCUGUUACGUUCUUCUCAAUAAUAUCAUCCCAGACAAUGCCCUGCAAAAUAGGCACCAUAACAAAUGCUCAUUAUUAGAGUUUCAUCAUUAGAAGCUGAGGAUAUGAAAGGACUGUAUCUCUUGGAUAAUUAUUUGGACAAUACAGACAGGGGACUUACAUUAAAGAAUGGAUGUUCUGCUACAUCUGCGGCAUUCCCCGGGGUGGAACCUAGCCUCUCCUCAGGAUUCUUCUUCAACAGCUACAAGAAGUGAAAAUAGCAGUUACACUGAAGAAGCAGAAGCUUCAGGGAACUCAAGAGAAAGUGGUCACUGAUUAUAAUAAACUGAAAGCUCAGCGCUACUUACCUGUGAUAUGAAGCUUACUGCUUCGGAGUCCAGGGAUGAGGGGUAGUGUGGCUCAUCCUCCACGAUGGAAUCAUAUAUAAAGUCCCUGUCGUAUCCGGUGAAAGGCUUUUAAAUGGGGAUCACUGGCCCCAUCUAAAAAGCAAAAGCCUCCUCUACUGUCAUCUCUUCAGCCUGAGAAUCCUCUGGAAUGGGGCUGUAAUCGCCGGGGAGAGGACCCAUCGAUGUUUCAGAAGAGUCUUCUUCAUUCUCAGGAACUUCACUAUUGGGAAGAGGUCAUUGAGUGACAGUUCCCCUUUAUAUCUGGUGGCAAGGACUCUAAUCGUCAGGCAUGAAACAACGACUUUAUAUUUCCAUCUGUCUUACCUCAGUAUGCCGGUGCCGGUGCAGGAUGUUGCACAGUUUGGCGCCCAUC